GAUGAACGCUAGCGAUAGUCUUAACACAUGCAAGUCGAGGGGCAGCGAGGGUAGCAAUACCUGUCGGCGACCGGCGCACGGGUGAGUAACGCGUAUGUAACCUGCCCGCAACAGGGGGAUAACCCGGCGAAAGUCGGACUAAUACCGCAUAAAACAGGGGUCCCGCAUGGGAAUAUUUGUUAAAGAUUUAUCGGUUGCGGAUGGGCAUGCGUACCAUUAGGUAGUUGGUGAGGUAACGGCUCACCAAGCCUUCGAUGGUUAGGGGUUCUGAGAGGAAGGUCCCCCACACUGGUACUGAGACACGGACCAGACUCCUACGGGAGGCAGCAGUGAGGAAUAGUGGUCAAUGGGCGAGAGCCUGAACCAGCCAAGUCGCGUGAAGGAUGACUGCCCUAUGGGUUGUAAACUUCUUUUACAAGGGAAUAAAAUGAGAUACGUGUAUUUUAUUGCAUGUACCUUGGGAAUAAGCAUCGGCUAACUCCGUG
rnacentral:rRNA from 1 species